CCUUAGAAAUUCAUUUUAUAGGCUGGACUCCAAUCUCUGGGAUUCGAGUCUGGGGUGGGGCUUAGGAAUCUGCUUUUUAACAAGCACCCCCGAGUGAUUUUUGAUAUGAAAAAACAAUAUCCUCUAUAACUUGAUUUAACAAAUAUUUGUUUCAAAAUUUCCAGGUGACAUUUACUGGCCUUGUGAAAUUUAUAGGCAACACUUUAAUUCUCUGUUUUCAACAGUGGCACCUUUUGUCCUGUGUUCAGAACUGUUUGGGAAACCUCAGCUAUCCCUGUUCCAGGUUAGCCCCAAUUCUAAGGAAGUCUGUCUGGGGAAGCAAGACUGGCAUAAUUCUCAAUUUAAGGCUCCUAGAAAAGGUUUAACAGAGAAAGGAUCUAUGAGAAGUUGUUGCCCUUUCCUCUUUCUACCAUCCAAGUACCUAAAAAUCCAAAUGACUUCUCAGAGAUACCAUGAACUGCAUGAGCUACACAUUCCUGGACACAAAAUGGCAAGGCUGGGUUAACAGGGAGAAAAAAGCCACAAUGAAGACUAAUUAAGGACAGAGAAAUGAACCAAGAUCAAUAAUUAUUCUGAUUAGAACCACAAUAAACCCUAAUAAUUUUGAAUGUA